rnacentral:lncRNA from 1 species
CUUUCUGAUGAGUUCUCAGGUUUUGUGUUUACCGUCCCCAGACAAAACCAAACUUUGGCACUUAAACUUUAAUUCUUCCCCUCCCCAUUGGAAAGCAGGAGACAGUAGAGCUUGUAAGAUGAAAGGUGUUGCACAGCGUGGAUAUGUUCCCAUGGCCUGUUGUUGCUUCAAUCAGCCUGCGUGGGGGCCUUUACCAUAGCCUUCCUCUUCUUAGGCCACCUACAAGUGGCUUGGAAGCGAAUGCUCCAGGCUCCGUCCUGCCUUUCCCUUGGGCAACUCUCUACCUCCCAAGAUGUCCUCCGUUUCACCUAGGGCAUGAAAGUUGGUCUUCACCCAAUAAGUAAUUUUUGCACACCUGUAUUUUUGCAGGAGCGGCUGUGGAUGCAGCCCUGGGCAAGGACAGCAGAUGUUGCAAGCAGACAAUCCGGGACUUCCGGAAGAAGUGUUAAUUCACCUAGGAUUUGAGGAUGGGAUAAAUUAGUGGGAUGAAGAAUGGGUUAGGAGCAUUCUGAGCUUAGGGGACAGCAAGAGUGAAGCCCUCGAGGUCUGAGAAAUUGCAAGCGUAUUCCAGGAUGUGUCUGCAGAUGAUGAGAUAGGUCUUCCUGGGUCUCUGCUUCUACUCUUCUGUCUCAAGGAGCUGAGAGGGGAAUGGGGCCAAGAAAUGGGACCCAGUUUCUUAUGGCCACUGAAGCGCUGUAUUUCCUUCUUAGCUUCCUGGAUAAGCAGGUACAGCUUACAAACACAUGUGGGCCCUGUGUCGAUGGAGAGGACAGCUUAUGAACCCCUGGGCUCUAUUUCCUAGUCUGUCAAACAAGGAAGUUGGGCUUGGUGACCUCUCUAAAUUCGUUUUCCAGUUGUGAAUUUCUGUGAAACUAUAGAAUUGCCUUGGCAUAAUGAUUUUAAAAUGGUCUAGAUAUUUUGGGCCAGCUUGGCUGUGAUUCAUAAUGCAUAAUUCAUAAUGUGUUCUGCACGUCUCUUUUUGUUCCACUCUCAUCUCUCCAAUUCGAACUUUUAUUACUUGAGCAUUGCUUUCAUAAAGCCAUUUCCAUGCUCAGAGAUACUCCUCAGUUCCCCCAGCCUCUGAACCUGGAGUUGAACACCCACUGCCCCCCUUCUCCAGGCACCUCGCCCACUGUAUUUCAUCCCAAGAUAAUUUAUUUAUAAUUUAUUCUAAUUCUUUUGUAUGUUUAAAAGUGGCAUUUAAUCACCUGGAAAGUAUUCUCUCUGUAUCCUUGUGUUCUCCUUGCUCUGCCUUAACC